rnacentral:rRNA from 1 species
AUACGUAGGGGGCGAGCGUUGUCCGGAAUGAUUGGGCGUAAAGGGCGCGUAGGCGGCUUUGCAAGUCAGUAGUGGAAGUCCAUUUUUCAAGGAUGGAAGUGCUACAGAAACUGCGGAGCUUGAGUGCAGGAGAGGUUAUCGGAAUUCCCGGUGUAGCGGUGAAAUGCGUAGAGAUCGGGAGGAACACCAGUGGCGAAGGCGGGUAACUGGACUGCAACUGACGCUGAGGCGCGAAAGUGUGGGGAGCAAACAGGAUUAGAUACCCUGGUAGUCCACACUGUAAACGAUGAAUGCUAGGUGUAGGAGGUAUCGACCCCUUCUGUGCCGCAGUAAACACAGUAAGCAUUCCGCCUGGGGAGUACGGUCGCAAGAUUAAAACUCAAAUGAAUUGGCGGGG